AAGAGGAGGAUUGGCAGCAGAUGUUAGCUCAGGGCUGAUCUUCAUCAAAAAAAAAAGCUAUCUUCUGUGGAAGUGGAAGAAAGGAAUGCCCAAGGUAUUUGUCAUCCUUGCAAAUUGAAAAGGGCCUUGUCUAGAGUGAGAAGGAGUAAAUUUGGGGUAAGUCACUUCCAGUCCAUAUGCCUCUAUUUCCUCAGAUUUGUAAAAUGAGGGAAUUGAUUUAAAAUAACUUAUCAGGUUCCUCUUUCCCUCCUUGAUUUAUUUAUCCAUUCUUUUGUUUGUUGGCUUACGCUUAGCAGCCAUGAUUGAAGUUCAUCCUGGGUUGGGGUGAUUUUCCACCUUAUGCACGCAGUUCUCUCUAGUACAGAAGCCAGAACCUCGCUUCCCCAGCCUCCUAUGGAGCAAGAAGGCAACCAUGGACUCCAGGGCCACCAGUCAAGCACAUCUGUUCUGAAUUUGUUUGGAAGCUGGUGAUGGCGAGAGGUCCGCCCUGAACAGAACCCACCCGGCUAGGAUGACAGCAGAGACAUCCAGUUGGUUGAAGCUGCAGUCACAGCGAAUCUGGUGGUAACGUCCAGUGCCUGGCUGUGGUGGCAGCCCCAGUGGGGGGCCUCUGAUGGCUUCACUGGAACAGCUCUGCCGCACAGGAUUUUAGGAAUCUAGACAUCAUUAAAGCCUCAAACAAAGGAACUGGAGAGUGGGAGAAAAUUCCCUUUAAAUAUCAGUCUUUACAUUGCUGGUAUCUCCUUCUCAAGCCUGGGCCACAGCAACCAGUGGACCCUGAGGGGUCUUUUUAUUAAUAUUACUGAGGCUCCUCCCGUUAAGAUUCAUGGCUUUCCUGCUGUUGGAGAAAGAAGAUGGAUACAGCCUCGCUAGUGGAAUCUGAGAAGACUUAAUGGACUCUCUAAUGGCGGCAUGGUAUGACGUGAUUUGCAGAACAUGUGACUUACGACAUAGACCGUGGAGACUACGUUGGAGUAGACUAUGCGAUAUCACAAGCUCAAGUUAAAGCUCAAGUUAAAGGUAUAAAUUCUCACAACAACUUUUACAGGUUAAGCCUCCUCUCCACAUUUCGAUGUCUUUUCUUAAUUUUCUCCUCAAUUUGGCCCUCUCUCAUCAUCUUAAUAGCUUACACUCAAAAGAAAGCGCUAAGGUCAUCAUGAGUAGCGAUGGUCUCAGCAAGGAAGAAAAUGUGACCUCUGCCCCAAUUUGGAGAUAUUUGGUCCCUAUUGAGCACGUCUCACCUGGUGAUCUUCUGAAGAUCUCAGUCUCUUGGCACACACAGCUUCAGGUCAUUGCACAGGAAAAGCCCCAAGUGGAUGCUGAGGCUCCAGAUGUCUUAGCUGCAAGGGCAUUAUUUAGAACCUCCUGGAUCUACUUCAAUAUGAGCAAACUCCAAAAUUUACAUAAAUCCUAACAUUCCAGCUCUGUCUGUAUAACCUUACUACAAUCACAACAAAACAUUUUAGAUGAAAGGGACCUUGGGUUCCUAAAAACUGAUCAAAGCUCAUUCUAGGGAAGCUGAGAGAAGGUAAAUACAUGCUAAGUUUAGUUGGUUCUAUACCCCUGCCCUUUAGGCUUACCCCAUUUCCGUUUGAGGAGUGCCAUUUUUAAAGUCUCCACAAUAGUUCCUUUCUUUUGAUCUUUUUGUAGAUUACACAGUAGACGUUUCCUCUCCCAGUCAUUUGAACAGUGGAUGUGGCUCAUGGUUCCCUCCUGGUUCUAGCCAAUGGCUUCUGCUGAUGAUUGCUAGGCUGUUGGCUCAGCUUCUAUGGUCUAGUCUUUUCGUUCUUGGUAGAGAUAUCCCGGCAGUCAGCAUCUUCCUGUUUUCUGAAGUCAAGUUUGCUCACACUCCUUCCCAGAUUUGGGUUGAUCUGUUCUCAGCUUUAAUCGCUGCAUUCAUGAAAUCUUGCCAUAGUCAUUUCUUUAACUUCUGCACAAUUCAGAGAUAUUUGACCACAGCAGCUGCCAAGGUUCUGGCUCAUGCUUGAGUCAUUCCCUGACUGCACCAUUCUGAGACUCCUGGCUGCCCUUCCUGUUCGUCUGCAAGUACUGGCCUGCCAAAACACUAUGGCUUAUUUCAAGGAUUUUCUUUUUAGUUUUCUGCAAGUUUCAUCUUAACCUAUUAUUUGGUCAGUUUCGUUGCUUCUUUUUAUCUGAAGAUUAUUAUUUUUUGACUUUCUACUUGUUGCAAGAAUACUAUCUCAGGACUGUCACAUUUGAUGUAGAAAUCAAGUUCUGGCUUGGUGCUCUGGUAUUUUUCUCAUGAAUCCCUCUGUUCUAUUUCCCCUUCCCUCAAUGACAUCCUCAGCAGAUGUCAUAUUUGGGCUGUUUGCCCAAAGAAAUGGGAGAGGUUGGAUAUGAUGACACUAAGCAAGCAUCCCUAGGCCAUAUUGAAUUGUAGAAUGAUAGAAUCUUAAAGCUGGGAGGGUACCCAAAGAUUGAUUAAUUCAACUUCCUUCCCAAUUUGAGAAUUAUUCUCCGGCAUUCAUUAUUCCAUCCUCUGCUUGAAUCCUUUCAAGCAGGGAGAAUGCAUUAGUUGGCUACGUAAUUGUUCUCUUGUUUCCAGUUCUAAUCGUUGGAAUUAUUUUUUCUUUCAUUGAACUGAAUUCUGCUUUCCUAUAACUUCCUCCCAUUAGUUCUAGGCCUGCCCUCUGGAGUGAUCCAGAGUAACUAAACUUCAUCUUUUAAUAAUAUGAUAGUAAUUGCUGCCAUGUAUUGAGUACUUGCAAGAUUCUGUACCUUGUGUCUUAUACACUGUAAUAAUCAGUUCUUCAGUUGCAAGCAAUAGAAACCAAUUCUGGCUAACUGCAUUAGUUAUCUUUUGCUACCUAAUAAAUUACCCUAAAACUUAGUGGCUUAAAAAAAAUAAACAUUUAUUACCUUCCACUUUCUGUAGUUGAGGAAUUCAGAAGCAACUUUAUGGGUAAUUCUGGGUCAAAGUUUCUCAUAAGGUUGCAGUCAAGAUGUCAACUGGGGCUUCAGUCAUCCGAAGGCUUGACUAGGGUGGAGGAAUCCACUUCUAAGCUCCCUCACACGGCUGAUGGCACGAGUCCUCAGUUCUUUGCAGUGAGGACCUCUCCAUAGAGCGUCUCCAAUAUGGCAGCUGGUUUCUCCUGGAGUGAGUGACUUGAGAGAGAGACAGAGAGGAGGCCUCAGGGCCUUUUAUAAGGACCUAGUCUCUGAAGACAAUGAUAAGUUUUUAGUAUCCAUGUUUUAUUUUAAUCAGACAGUAAACAUGAGGCUCCCAGGUCAGAGGCAGACUGAUUAUUUAGUUACAGAAUAUCUUAGUGGCAAUUCUCCUUUCCCCAGAUCCAUCCCCUAGGGGGACACAGUGAGAGCCAGGUGGACCCUGCACAUGUUGCGGGGGGAUGUGGGGUGGAGGGCGGGUCUGUACUAUAGAGGAAGGACUCUGAAAUUAAGGAUCUCACAGCUUCUGUCGGAGCUGGAACACCUACCCCACCUCCCCUCCAGAGAAAGGGAGGGGGGACUUGGAAUGUAAACUGAUCUUCUCUUAGGGGCAGAAAGGAAGGUCUCUACCCAGAAAUGUAAAUAUUUGGCUCCAAGGAAGAAAAGAGAUGCUUUAUUAUCCUUUGAACGGGAGUGGAUAGCUCCACCCAAAGGGAGACAAGUGCAUCAGUCUAUCUCCCCUAGAACGUGAAGAACAGAUGGCUCUGGAGAAAACGGAGAGAUUUUCCAUCUCUGUAGCCCUCCUGAGUUACAAGGAGCUCACGGUCUAGAAUCCAGACCAGAUUUAGGAGUCAAGUCAGUCUCUGCUGGCCUGGGGAAUGCAUAGGGCUGAAUCUGUGAGUGGCAGAAAUUCAGUGCCCGAGGCCAGGCGGGAGCAGGCUCACAUUAAGAGCUGCUACAAGCCCUUUAUGCAUCUGGGGUUAGUUACGGCAAAACAUGAUACUUAAAUUCUUCAUCAUUCAGUGGCCUUUCUCCAGCCACUCUGUUUCAUCAAAGUCCCUCUGACUGUGGUAUUUAAUUCUCCAGGCAUAGUCCGGCUAGUGCAGAGAGCAGUGGGGCCGUUAAAUGCAUCCAGAAACUGCCUGAGGUGCUUGUUUUGUGGGGUGAAUCAUACAAAAGGAGAUUGUCCUGCCGAGAUCUUGGGUGAGGAUUGAGAAAUGUCUCUAGGAUUCAGAGGAACACAUCCAGUUUAGUUAAGUCCACCAUGUAUUGCAUCAUUUUCUAUCCCUAGGCCAUCAAAUUGGUUUUUGGGGGGCCAGUCCGGUGGCACAGCAGUUAAGUGUGCACGUUCCACUUCGGUGGCCCAGAAUUUGCCAGUUGAGAUCCCGGGGGCGGACUUAUGUACCGCUUGGCAAGCCAUGCUGUGGUAGGCGUCCCACAUAUGAAGUAGAGGAAGAU